rnacentral:lncRNA from 1 species
CUGUCCCACUACCUGUUCUCUGGCUGUCCUUACCUUUGUCCUGGCCAGGGGGCUCCUAGAGUGGUCUCCCCCUGCCAAAAGGAGAGGCUGCAGCCUCUUCCCUGCAGUCCUUGAGCCUGUGGUGAAGUAUGUGGAGCCCUUGGUGUGUGAAGAGACUGCCUGCACCAUCUGGACUGUGAGGCGGCAUCUGCACUGCCUGCAAUGCCCCCAGGAUCCAUGGUACAGGCUGGGGGUGCACUGUGGCUUUGGCUGUCCCACUACCUGCUCUCUGGCUGUCCCCACCUUUGUCAGGGCCAGGGGGCUCCUAGAGGGGUCUCCCCCAGGCUGAGUGGAGGCUUCAGCCUCUUUCUGUCCUCCCCCAGUCCUGAAGUCCAGGAGGAAUGAUGUGUAGCCCUUGGUGGGUGAAGAGACUGCCUGCACCAUCUGGACUGUGAGGCAGCAUCUCCCCUGGCUGCAAUGCCUGUGGGAUCCCUGGUACAUGCUGGUGGUGCACUGCUGCUUGCCUCAAAGAUUGUGGCAGGCGCUGAAGCGGGAGCCAGAGGCCUGGAAGAAUCCCGAAGAAACUUCACAAUCUGAAGACUCCUCAGUGCACUGAGAUCCAUGACACAGCAUGGGACAGCGAGUGGGCCUCGAGCCCACAGGGGUUUUGGAUGCCUCCAGGAAAGGCGCCUCCAGCACUGCCCCCCUGCAACCACAGAGAAAUUAAAGAAAUGCCACGUGUUUAUCCUGAGCCUCCUGGGGUCACGCCUCAGUCCUCCACAGCCUCCAGCAUCCUCCCAGCUCUGCACCUGCCUCCUUCAAGCAGUUCCUGUCCUCCUGGAGCUCAGGCCCCAGAGUGGGAUGCCAUAUCCCCCUCACAGCCCCACAGGGGCAGAGUAGAGGAGGAUGAGGACCUCUCCCACCUCCUGAGCACCCCCAAGAGCAGGAAGGCUGUGCUGCUCUCCUUCCCCACCUUGCUGCCUCCUGGGAUGCUCUGUUUGGAGGGUAUGUGCUGGAGCAGCAGUGGACAGACCUGAUGCUGACCUGCCUGGAGGUGGUGUCACAUGAGGCAGGGAGAUGAAGUGAUGCCUGCUGUGUGCCAGAAGCUACUGGAGUGGCCAGUCCUCAUGACACGCUGCUAUCCCCACUCUGUUGCUGUGAUGAUACUCUUCGUCUGCCCCAUGAGACAGAACUACCAAUUGCACAGCCUCCUGAAAACCCUACAGGGCCCCCGACACCCCGCAGGGCCCCUCAACACCCCCUGUCUGUGCCCGCAGAUCCUCAA